CUCCAAACACCAGGAUCCGUGUGCCUUCACAAACAAAGCCAUGAGCGGCACAACCAGGGGCAUGUGAGGACAAGGUAACUGCUGCGAUCCCAAUUACACCAGCAAGCUGACAGACCUGCUGUUUGGUCUCUCAUUCUGGCGGCA